GUGCUCACCUCACAGCAUAAAUACUAAAAUCAGAACGAUACAGAGAAGAUGAGCACGGCCCCUGCGCAAGAGUGACACGCAAAUUCGGGAAGCGGUCCAUGCUUUU
rnacentral:snRNA from 1 species